rnacentral:rRNA from 1 species
GACGAACGCUGGCGGCGUGCUUAACACAUGCAAGUCGAACGAUGAAGCUAGAGCUUGCUCUGGUGAAUUAGUGGCGAACGGGUGAGUAACACGUGAGUAACCUGCCCCGAACUCUGGGAUAACUGCUGGAAACGGUAGCUAAUACUGGAUACGACCUACGAAGGCAUCUUCUGUAGGUGGAAAGAAUUUCGGUUCGGGAUGGACUCGCGGCCUAUCAGCUUGUUGGUGAGGUAAUGGCUCACCAAGGCGACGACGGGUAGCCGGCCUGAGAGGGAGACCGGCCACACUGGGACUGAGACACGGCCCAGACUCCUACUGGAGGCAGCAGUGGGGAAUAUUGCACAAUGGGCGCAAGCCUGAUGCAGCAACGCCGCGUGAGGGAUGACGGCCUUCGGGUUGUAAACCUCUUUUAGUAGGGAAGAAGCGAAAGUGACGGUACCUGCAGAAAAAGCACCGGCUAACUACGUGCCAGCCGCCGCAGUAA